rnacentral:lncRNA from 1 species
AGAGCUGCUUGCUUAAAAGACUCUGGCCUCCCUCUUGCUCCCUCUCUGGCCAUGUGACAUGCCUGCUCCCCCUCCACCUUCCACCAUGAGUGGAAGCUUCUCAAGGCCUCACCAGAAGAAGAUGUUGGUGCCAUGCUUGUAUAGCCUGCAGAACUAGAUAGGAUUUCACCAUGUUGCCCAGGCUGGUCUCGAACUCCUGGGCUCAAGCGAUCUGCCCACCUAGGCCUCCCAAAGUACUGGGAUUACAGGCGUGAACCACUGCCCGGCUGAGAAGGAGGUUCUUCCGCGAGAGAAGGCUAUGCAGAGGGGAGGAUCUCAGGCCUGAAGGGUCUAGAAGCCCACUGGAAGGUCUUCCAGACACUUGGGACAUCUAGCUCCUGAAGAGUAGAAAGAGGAGCUGCUGCCGAAGAGGUAAGACAGAGAGAGGGGCACAGGAUGUGGAGUCCGCCCCUCUGUCCUCAGGGAGUUUCUUUGGAGAGAGAAGAGAAUGAGGCUGGGCUCAGAGGAAGUUCCUCCCACUCCGUGGAGCUCAAACUAGUCCAGUGGUGGCAGCUGCCCUGGCUGGAAUAAAGCAUCGACCCACAGUGGCCUCACAUCUCUGAGGCCUUUGCAGGUUAAGAGUCUCCUGCCAUGAUACCCCACCACAGUGGAACCCGUUGUUGGGCCAGCGUGUUCUCAGGGACUGGGACACGGGCCAAAUACUACAGCCACCAAGGCCAUAGCCUGUGCUCUCUCUGAGCCGAGGGAAGAACACCCUCUCCGGCCCUGUAGUUCCAUUUUUGUUUCUUUGUUUCGUUUCCUCUGCUGUCUUCUCCAGAGCUCUGCGCUGCAGCUGAGAGACUGGGUAUCUCCUAGAGAUUCCUGACCCCCACGCACCAGCCCCACCACCAGAGGGCGCCCGAGCACAGAGACGCCGCAACCGGAGCAGGAGCCCUAAACCUGUCAGGGUGGGUCAGCCCUGGAGUAAUCCUGGAGGGAGGGUCUGGGAGAGGGCCCCAGUGUGGGGACCUGCCCGGCUCAACCAAAUGUAGUUUGUUACCUUGGUGGCCAUCUGCAGCCAGGUGGCCCUGCCACACUGCUAAACCAGAGGAUUUAGGAAGCAGACAGGGAUUCGGGAAGUGGCUGAAGAGCACUGGAAAGACAAACUCCUGCGGUGCAAGAGUCCUGGACCAGGAGUGCGGAGAACUGGGGGCGCUCCUCUCCCUGUUACCCUAGGCUUGUUUUCUCAUAUGUAAACAAAGGCAGGGGCGGGGAGAAGGGAAGGACUCGAUGGUACCCAGGUGCCCUUCAGGCUCUAACCAAAGACAUGCCCCACCCUCCUGGAGGAACCCUGCGGAGCGCAGAGAACGGCUGGAGACAUAGCGGCCGCGGUUUUCCCCGCAGCGCAGGAGCGCCAGGCACUGCGCUGGGUCAACUGCGGUCAGGGAGUCACCUGCCCGCGACAGCGAGCGCGCACCCACACUCUCGACCAACCCAGGCUGGCCUCCAGCCCACUCUCGGGUCCCAACGCCCAAACAUCUCGCAUUGCUGGCUCCGACAUCUCCCCACCCGCCGCCAGGAAUCAGCGCAGAGGGAGAUGCGUCUUCUGUGGCGGGUGCGGGGCGAGGACCCUGACCCCAGCUCUGGGAAGUGAACUGUACGGAGGAGAGAGCUCUCCAUCGUCAGCUCUGCCUCCGCCCCUCCUGCGGCUUCACUUCAGCCCGGAUGCCGGCGAUGGGGAAUAGACCAGGGACGCAGGAGCACACUGGACCGGGGGUGGAUCCACUUGGGGAGGCAGGCAACCGACCCGCGCACCGGUGGCGCAACCUCGUUCCGGUGACCGAAGCUUGUGGAGGUAGCUCCACUCCCGGCUCCCUGGUCCGACAUCCCCCUGCCACCUCCUCCCCCACCUCCCCGAGUCUUGGGAGCCUGGACCCCGAAGGUGCAAAAAGUCAAGAGCCUGGAAAACUGCACUGUGCAAAUAUAUUGACUUUAUUUGUCUCCUUUCAGGAGCCUCACAGACAUAUCCAGGUAAAAAGAUCGUUAAAUAAAUGCCUUCAGCCAUC